rnacentral:rRNA from 1 species
GAUGAACGCUGGCUACAGGCUUAACACAUGCAAGUCGAGGGGAAACGACGGGGAAGCUUGCUUCCCCGGGCGUCGACCGGCGCACGGGUGAGUAACGCGUAUCCAACCUGCCUCUGACUGAGGGAUAACCCGUCGAGGGUCGGCCUAAUACCUCAUUGCAUCGUCUGCGGGCAUCCAACGACGAUUAAAGAUUUCGGCGGUCAGGGAGGGGGAUGCGGCUGAUUAGCUUGUUGGCGGGGUAGCGGCCCACCAAGGCUAGGAUGGGUAGGGGGUCUGAGAGGGGGACCGGCGACAUGGGGACGGAGAUACGGCCCAGACCGCUGCGGGAGGCAGAAGUGGGGAAUAUUGCACAAUGGGCGGAAGCCUGAUGCAGCAACGCGGCGUGCGGGAUGACGGCCUUCGGGUUGUAAACCGCUUUCGCCUGUGACGAAGCGUGAGUGACGGUAAUGGGUAAAGAAGCACCGGCUAACUACGUG